GACGGGGGGGGCAAGUGUUCUUCGGAAUGACUGGGCGUAAAGGGCACGUAGGCGGUGAAUCGGGUUGAAAGUGAAAGUCGCCAAAAAGUGGCGGAAUGCUCUCGAAACCAAUUCACUUGAGUGAGACAGAGGAGAGUGGAAUUUCGUGUGUAGGGGUGAAAUCCGUAAAUAUACGAAGAAACGCCAAAAGCGAAGGCAGCUCUCUGGGUCCCUACCGACGCUGGGGUGCGAAGGCGUGGGGAGCAAACAGG
rnacentral:rRNA from 1 species